rnacentral:misc_RNA from 1 species
GAAACAGUUCCCGACCACUCAUGCGAUCAUUUUUCGCCCUCUCGGCUCUCAUUGCAGCAAGUCCAGUUUCUUUCUCUUCCAUCUUUUUCAUCUUCCAUUGCAUGAAGAGAUCGGUAGUCAUAGGAGUUGUGGUAGCAACUUUGGCACGCUGGCUUUCAAUCUCUUCUUCAAUGGAUAACUUUUCAGACUCUUCCUCCAGCAAAGCU